UGAGGUGUAGUUCCUGCACUGGUGCAACCAUCUGCUCCUAUGUGGUGCUCAUGUAACCAAAGGGCAUGUGAUCGACUGACACCAACUCUUGUGUUUUUCAAUCUACAAAGCAGAUGCCAUAGGCAUAUGCCGCAAAUAACAAUAGGUUGUUCUAGUUUUGAUUCACUCCACCACUACUAAUCCCCCUCGCCCCUUUGCUUGUGAGACUAAUCUAGGCUUGGAGGAUUUGUGAUUUGUUCAACAACCCUAUGCUACUUUAACCAUUUUGCCCUGUUCUAUCUACUAAAUCCCUUGAAUCAACACACCUAUGGAACAAUCUCAUAAAUCUAUUUUUAGAUCUAUGUGAUUGACCUGAUCUCACUUUGGCAUAUUUUCUUGUGACCUUCUCAAACACCCUUGGUAUUUGGCUUGAAGUCAACUCUUUCAUGCAUCCUUUGAACUAGGUUUGAAGGUGGCGAAUCAAGUACCCUCAUCGAGGUGUUAGCAAAUAGUUAGUCAAUCUAGAAGGAAGAUGUGUGCAUAAGAGUUAUCUUCUAAAAUGUUGAUAGUGCAACGUUCAUAAUCUUUGUUAUGUACUUAGAUAUAAGUCAUGUCUAGAUACAUAGUAAUAGUAAAAAAUAUAUAUCUAAAGAAAGCCAAAAUGACUUACAAUUUGGAAUAAGAGUACAACAAUGUAAUUUGGUGGUUUGCUAUGUUUACUUAUGCAUGACCUACUGACUUAAUCUCUACAGGACUGCUAGCGCCCGGACGUCCAGCGCCAACAACAUGUCCAGACACCGAGCCCCCAACCCAUGCCACACGGAGAAAAGAAAAAAGUGCUAGUAGCGCGUCCACAUGCCAAGCCCCCACCCGCACCACAAUGAGAAAAAAAAAAGAAAAGGAAACCCGUCCAUCCGCAACCAUCUCGCCCCUGCCCUACUUGCACCGCACGGAGGAUUGCUCUUCGUCUACUCCCCACGCAAGGAGCUCAUCCUCACCUCAUCCCUCGCCUCACCAGCCCCUAGCACAUCCGCUCGUCGUCGACUCGUCCCCACAGCCUACCCCAUACACGUAACGCUGCAACAGAAUGCGCAUGAUAGUGCAACAACACCAGACAUACUGCUACAACAAUAGGUUGAAGUAGCUGAAACACCAUAAAACAUAGUAUUACAAUAAACACCAAACAACUGCUACAACAACAUGUAAACAACUACUACAACAUAUAGAUUGAAGCAUUGGAUGGAGCAGCUAAAACACCAUAAACCUAUAUUACAACAACAACGAACUACUCCUGCAACAAUAUGCAACAACUAAUACAACAACUAGAUUGAAGCAUUGGAUGAAUAAGUCGAAACACCAUAGACAUAGUACUACAGAUUGAAGUAUUGGAUGGUGCAACUGAAACACCAUGGACAACAACACUGAACAGUUGCUGCAAUAACAUGAAACAAACUAGUACAACAUGCAAAUUGAAGCAACUGAAACAACAUCUCAAAACACAGUACUGCAACAAAUGACUGGAACCUAAUGCAACAUCUAGAGAGAACCAUUGCAAUAAUGAGAAGACCCUGAACCUGAGAGCUCACCGAAACCAUACCCUACUACAACAUCACCUAAAAACAUACUGCAACAACCAAAGAACACCAUUACAAUAUGUGCGAGCGUUGAAACCCAAGAGAUCGCUAAAACCUUAGUCACCACCAUAUCCCAUAGAUCCAGACCUAGAGGAGGAGUAGAAGAAGGAGUAGAAGCUAGAGGAGGUGGAGAAGGGGAGGAGAGCUCAGAUCCAAAUCCACAAGAGAAGGGAGGGAAAAGGGGGGAUAGCUCUACCAGCGACACAGAAGUGCGGGCGUAGGCAGCAAGAGCAACGGC
rnacentral:lncRNA from 1 species